GGUUUAGUAAAUGAAUUGAAAAUACAAUCAUUCGGCUGAAAUUCAGUUGUCCUUUGCAGCUCUCUAAUGGAGAGCGUACGAAUUUCCUCGUCGUCUCUGCUUGCUUCGAAACCGCCGAUUAACAGUUCUUCAACUGCGUUCUCCCCUCGACAUUGCUACAGCUUAAAUUCGAAAAGAAUUGGUGCGCGCAGAAUUGCAUGUGAUUAUUCCUGCUUCGAAUUUUGGUCUGAUCUUUGGACGAAGUGGAAGUGGGAAAACAACACUUUUGCAGGACUAAGUAAACCAACAUCAGGCUCAAUCUAUGUUCAAAGAUAUGGUGAAGAUGGUAAUCCAAAUCAAUGUCCCAAACUGUUGCAACCCAGAAGAGUUGGUAUUGUUUUCCAGUUUCCGGAAAGGUUUUUCAUUGCAGACAAUAUUCUUGAUGAAAUUAUAUUUGGGUGGCCAAGACAAAGAGCUGGCCUGCAAUUGAGAGAGAUUCUUGCUUCAAGGCUCCAAAAAGCUAUGACCUCGGUUGGGCUAACUGGAAUCCCUUUGGACAAAGAUCCCCAAUCACUGAGUGGUGGAUACAAACGUCGGCUUGCUCUAGCAAUUCAGUUGGUUCAAACCCCAGACCUAUUAGUACUGGACGAGCCUCUUGCUGGUCUAGAUUGGAAGGCCCGUGCAGAUGUGGUUAAAUUGUUGAGAGACCUGAAGAAGGAGCUGGCGUUGCUUGUUGUCAGCCAUGACCUUAAAGAGUUGGCACCUCUAGUAGAUCAGUCAUGGAGGAUGGAAAUGGGUGGAAUACUGAAGAGAGAAUGCCUGCCUAUUUAAUUAUGUGUCUUCACUUUCUAAUCAACUAAUGUUGCUGUAAUUAAGGGACAAGAACAGAAGCAUCCAGUAGAAAUUCUUGGCCACAUGAAUAUUGCUGAAGAGUUUAUUUAAGAAGUCCAUUUGGCAAUUGCAUGCUGAAGAGAGUGUGUCACACUAGACAGCUGUGUGAAUGUAAACUACUGUUCUGUUCCAUCAAAAAAAUAUUUUCCAGCUGAUAACCACAACCAUGCACUGCCCAUGCUCAAUGUAUAAAGGAAGUUGGGUAGUCAUAUCUAGAAUUAUCGUUGUGAAAUAUUUGGCUCAAUGCUCUCUCUCUCUCCCUCCCUCUCUCUCACACACACACGAACCUCGUGCUCGUAUGAACUACAUAUCAUGACAGGUUUGCUAUACCUCGUCCAUUCAAGUGUCGGCACUUGAAAUAUUUAGCUUAAUGCUCACGUCUGUCACGUUGUGCCUGCUAGGUGUAUCCUAGUUUCGCUCAGAUAAUCCUAGUUACCGAGCUAGGUGUAUGACAAGUAGAGUAAUCGAGAAAAAUACCACCAUGCAAGUUCAAUAUAAUAUUGUCAGCCGCAACAGCAACUUGCUAUAGGCGGAUAGUGACUCCACAGGUUGUUAGAAAAGAAGUCGAUUCAUGCGUUGCCCAACGUGUUUCUGUCUGGUAUACGUGUUAUAGGUCCAUAAUUGUAGUUAUGGAACUGGUGAGACAAAUAUUAGCUGAAUUAAUCAGGCAACGAUCCUCGUUUUCAGCUACACUACAAAAGGGUAACAGACAUAAAAUGUUGCCUUUUUUGGUUGGACAGGAACGAGUAGGAGUAGAGGGCUAUGGGGUGAAAUGAUGAACAAAUCCAUACAAACACUAGCCUCCACCUUUGCUAGAAUUCUGUACUCACUUGAACUUAGCGAUAGUAAGAGAGUGGUGGCUGUGGCUCCCACAUUGUGUUGCUAGUAUUGAUUUUCUAUUAGAUUAUGAUGCACUUAUCGCUUUCAAGUCUGAUAAUUUUGUGUGGUUAACCACUAAUUUCGCCUAAUUUUUUUGUGUUAAGUGAUUGUCUUCUUGUGUGUAGCUUUAUAUUUGCUGAUUAGAUUGGUUUCGCGGUGCUACACCUAUAAAUUAUAUUGGUCCCGCUACUAGACUUGUCAAGUGGGCCAGUCUUGAGACAUUGAACGGGUUUGGACUGGGCUCAUUAGUCAUGUAGGGUUUUAUGGGGUCUUCUUGUAAACACAGGAUCAGCCUGUGCCCAAGGCCAUUAGAAGUUUGGCCAGAGCCAGCCCAUGAUCGGCCCAAUAAAGGCCAAACUAAGUACUCCCUAUGUCCGUGAUUAGGAGUUUUAGUUUUUCGAUACUGUGUUUUGGAAAAUGUGAAUAGAAAAAAUUAGUGGAAUGUGGGUCGCAUUUUAAUAUAUACUCCCUCCGUCCUAUAAUAAAUGGUAUACUUGUAGGAAAUGUUAUUUUGUGUUAGGUGGAGAGAGAAAAUAGUAGUAGUACAUUUAUAUUAGUGUAAGAGAGAACUUUUUCCAAAAAAGGAAAUGUGACAUUUUUUAUGGUACAAACUAAAAAGGAAAAUGUGACAUCUAUUAUGAGAUAGAUAGAGUACUUAGUUUUAUAGUUUUAGUGCCUAUUUACCAUAUAUAGUAAAAAUAAAAUAAAAUUUCUAUUAGCGGAUGGACCACAAUGAUAAAAUGAGGCUUUGGUCUAGGUAGUAAUUAGCUCCAUUAAUCUCUUUUGAGUUGAUUUCGGUUUUAUAAAGUUAUAUGAAAACAAUUUAAAAUCAAACUCAACCCAAUUAGGCUUACUUACCAAAUGGGUUAGGUUUUGGUUGGAUUGGGCCUAAAUAUAUACUGCAUUCAUCUAUCAUAAAUAUAAACUUUUGAAAUGGAUAUGAGUUUAAUGUAUAAUUGGGGAAGCAGGAGAGAUAUAGAAAGAAAAAUGGAUUGAAGUACUGUUAUUGAAAAAUGGGUUUCACCUCAUUAUUUCCUAAAGGGAUGAAUGGAGUAUAAAAGCUCAGAUUGGCCCAAUCAUUCAGACAUAAGCCUUAACGGGCCCGAGUUGGGCUAGGACUGGCUUACUUGACCAAUUGCUACCUAUGAACACUCCCCGUCGCUAAACAAAUAUUAGAAUAUAAUUGAAAAAAUGAUGCCAAACGUUUCAUUUUAUCGUUGAUCCAAAUCCUCUAGUUAUUCUGUAUGAACAGUUUCUGAUAUUGGGCGUGUUGGCCUAACUAUUGUGCUGUACUCUAUGAUCGGGUUCUCUCACUCAUAAAAUGAAAAGAGUUAAUUUACAAAAAUAUAGUACUACUAUAAAUAUAAAUCAAUGUUCAGGACCAGUUGUGGUUAAAAUAUUUAUGAAAAUUUGACGCGUGUAUGUGUAUAGACGUAACAUAAUAUAUACAGUAUAUUGAUAAAUUGGUUAGGUUAUAGUAGCAAAAAUCGUGUCAUGGGUUGGAAAUAAGAACACAAUCGAACCACUAUUUAACGUUAAACAUGUGGUUAGGAUUACUUGACUAUUGCUUGUUGCAUUCUCCUUUCAAUUCAACCGGAUUCCCUUUGUUGGCUAGUAGAAACCAAAUGACGGAUGUUUCGUAUAAAUACAUUAAAAUAGAUUAAAUUUCGCCUAGUAUAAAAAGCCAACAGUUUUAAGCUUAUAUUCAGUACAAUUAGCAAGAAUUAACUAUAUAUGCUCAAUACUAAAUGGAGAGUACUUAAUUCUAAAUCCAAAUGAAAAGAAGGGUGGGUAGGGGACUGUUUAUUUGUUUUUAACACGCAUCGUAGAAAACCGCAGCGUUGAAACAGGAGAGAGGCCUCCCGCAUCCCAAUCAGCAUGAGGAAACGUGAAUAUAGAA